rnacentral:rRNA from 1 species
UACGAGGGGGGCGAGCGUUGUUCGGAAUUAUUGGGCGUAAAGGGUGCGUAGGCGGUUUUGUAAGUCUUAUGUGAAAUCUAUGGGCUCAACUCAUAGACUGCAUGAGAAACUGCAGGGCUUGAGUAUGGGAGAGGUGAGUGGAAUUCCUGGUGUAGCGGUGAAAUGCGUAGAUAUCAGGAGGAACACCUGUGGCGAAGGCAGCUCGCUGGGACGUGACUGACGCUGAGACGCGAAAGCGUGGGGAGCAAACAGG